rfam:Gossypium arboreum cultivar AKA8401 contig_17974_1, whole genome shotgun sequence.
UAUUAAAAAAUUAAUCUAUUUCUACUAUUAAAAACUACCAUGGCUAAUAGAAUAACUAGAUAAUGAUACGCGGCGUGCCAUGUGUACCUCGCGCUAACGUAUAGGGAUCUAUUUUUAAUAGUAAAAAUGGAUGAAACUUUUAAGG